rnacentral:tRNA from 1 species
CAAGAAAUAGUUUAAUAAAAUUUAAACUUUGGGAGUUUAAGAUAAAGAAUAUUUUUUCUUGA